AGAGUUUGAUUCUGGCUCAGAACGAACGCUGGCAGCGUGGAUUAGGCAUGCAAGUCGAACGGGAUCCUGUUUUUUCAAUUCUUCGGAAGAGAAGUUUCAGGUGAGAGUGGCGGAAGGGUGAGUAACGCGUGGAUAAGCUACCCUCGGGUUGGGGACAACCCGCCGAAAGGCGGGCUAAUACCGAAUAUGAUUAGCCGGUCGCAUGACUGGUUUCUCAAAGGUGGGGACCUUCGGGCCUGCCCCCCGGGGAUGUGUCCGCGUGCCAUCAGCUUGUUGGUAGGGUAACGGCCUACCAAGGCUUACGGCUAGCUGGUCUGAAAGGAUGAUCAGCCACACUGGGACUGAGACACUGCCCAGACUCCUACGGGAGGCUGCAGUCGAGAAUCAUUCGCAAUGCGCGAAAGCGUGACGAUGCGACGCUGCGUGGAGGAUGACGGCCUUCGGGUUGUAAACUCCUGUCAUGAGGGAAAAGACGGUCGCCGGUUAAUAUCCGGUGGCUCCGAUGGUACCUCAAGAGGAAGCCACGGCUAACUCUGUGCCAGCAGCCGCGGUAAUACAGAGGUGGCAAGCGUUGUUCGGAUUUACUGGGCGUAAAGGGUGCGUAGGCGGUUUGGCAAGUCGGAUGUGAAAUCCCGGGGCUCAACUCCGGACGUGCGUCCGAAACUGCUGAACUUGAGCGUGGAAGAGGAGAGCGGAAUUCACGGUGUAGCGGUGAAAUGCGUUGAUAUCGUGAAGAACGCCGGAGGCGAAGGCGGCUCUCUGGUACACGGCUGACGCUGAGGCACGAAAGCGUGGGGAGCAAACAGGAUUAGAUACCCUGGUAGUCCACGCCGUAAACGGUGCGCACUUGUCGUCGGGGGAUUUGACCCCUUCGGUGACGGAGUUAACGCGUUAAGUGCGCCGCCUGGGGAGUACGGCCGCAAGGUUAAAACUCAAAGAAAUUGACGGGGGCCCGCACAAGCGGAGGAGCAUGUGGCUUAAUUCGAUGCAACGCGAAGAACCUUACCCAGGCUUGACAUCGGGGAGGCUUGCCUCCAAGGCAUGAAAAUGCCCUAACCAGACAGGUGCUGCAUGGCUGUCGUCAGUUCGUGCCGUGAGGUGUUGGGUUAAGUCCCGCAACGAACGCAACCCCUGCGUCCAGUUGCCAGCAGGUUAUGCUGGGGACUCUGGACGGACUGCCCGUGCAAUCGGGAGGAAGGUGGGGACGACGUCAAGUCAGUAUGGCCCUUACGCCUGGGGCUGCACACGUGCUACAAUGGCCGGUCCAAUGGGACGCGAGACCGCGAGGUGGAGCAAAUCCCCAAAGCCGGCCCCAGUUCGGAUUGGAGUCUGCAACUCGACUCCAUGAAGUUGGAUUCGCUAGUAACGGCGUAUCAGCUACGACGCCGUGAAUACGUUCCCGGGCCUUGUACACACCGCCCGUCACAUCAUGAAAGCCGUCUGCACCCGAAGUCGCUGGCCGAACCCUCACGGGACGGAGGCGCCGAAGGUGUGGGUGGUGAUUGGGAUGAAGUCGUAACAAGGUA
rnacentral:rRNA from 1 species